UACAGAGGGUGCAAGCGUUAAUCGGAAUUACUGGGCGUAAAGCGUGCGUAGACGGUUAUUUAAGUCAGGUGUGAAAGCCCCGGGCUCAACCUGGGAAUUGCAUUUGAGACUGAAUAGCUAGGGUGCGGAAGAGGGAAGCGGAAUUUCCGGUGUAGCGGUGAAAUGCGUAGAUAUCGAGAGGAACACCUGCGGCGAAGGCGGGUUGCUGGGCUGACACUGACGCUGAGGCGCGAAAGCUAGGGGAGCGAACGGG
rnacentral:rRNA from 1 species